UUUUAUGUAUGUUACAUCAGAACUUUUGCCCGUGUGGACCGAUUUCGACAAAUUUUCUUUUAAUCGAAAGGUGGUGUGUGUCAAUUGGUCCCAUUUAAAUUUAUUUGAGAUCUAACAACUACUUUUCGAGUUACAUAUCUAAUAAUGCGUUUUUACUUGACGCUUUUUUCGUCGACCUACGUUGUAUUCUACCGCAUAACUUUCUACUGGAUGUACCGAUUUUGAUAAUUCUUUUUGUUGGAAAGG
rnacentral:misc_RNA from 1 species